AAAGUGUGGUGGAGGGGAAGAGAUGCCACUUUGGUCAAGGCUUCUGUACAUCCUACCGUAACUGCAGAAACCUUGGAGGACGCCCAGCUGGAACACUAGUGUGCGGUUUCAAGAUAUGUUGUCUUUAGCAAAUGAUCAACAAAUGACCUGAACAACAGUGGGAAGUCCUACAGGAGGGCAAGAAGUGAAAAGAAAUGAAAGAUCGACUUCAAUCAAAAAUGAGGAAGGUUUUUUUUUUUUUGGAUAGUGCAGAUGCAGAAGAUGAUGAUUGUACCUAGUAUGUAAUAAAACAGUUAUUGUAAUUAUUAUUGUUCUUUUCUAUAUUUUGUAUAUUUGUAUAUGUUUUCUUUUCUGUAUUUGCAACAAUGGCAGUUUGAAUGCUUUGCUGUAACAAAGAUCAUGUAAAAUUAUGAUUUUGAUUUGUCUGAACUCUGUAUUACUUGUGUACAAAUAAAACAUGGAUGAUUGUU